rnacentral:rRNA from 1 species
GUCGAGAAUCUUUCACAAUGGGGGCAACCCUGAUGGAGCGACGCCGCGUGGAGGAUAAGGUCUUCGGAUUGUAAACUCCUGUCAUGCGUGAACAAGGUUGCUUGGUUAAUACCUGGGCAAAUUGAUGGUAACGCAAGAGGAAGAGACGGCUAACUCUGUGCCAGCAGCCGCGGUAAUACAGAGGUCUCAAGCGUUGUUCGGAAUCACUGGGCGUAAAGGGUGCGUAGGUGGCGUGGUAAGUCAGAUGUGAAAGCCCGGGGCUCAACCUCGGAACUGCAUCCGAUACUGCCAUGCUAGAGUACUGGAGAGGUGACUAGAAUUCUCGGUGUAGCAGGGAAAUGCGUAGAUAUCGAGAGGAAUACCAAAGGCGUAGGCAGGUCACUGGACAGUUACUGACACUGAGGCACGAAGGCCAGGGGAGCGAACGGGAUUAGAAACCCUUGUAGUCC